rnacentral:rRNA from 1 species
AUUGAACGCUGGCGGAAUGCUUUACACAUGCAAGUCGAGCGGCAGCGCGGCCUUCGGGCUGGCGGCGAGCGGCGAACGGGUGAGUAAUGCAUCGGAACAUGCCCAGUCGUGGGGGAUAACACUUCGAAAGAAGUGCUAAUACCGCAUACGUCCUGAGGGGGAAAGCGGGGGAUCGCAAGACCUCGCGCGAUUGGAGUGGCCGAUGUCAGAUUAGCUAGUUGGUGGGGUAAAGGCCUACCAAGGCGACGAUCUGUAGCUGGUCUGAGAGGAUGAUCAGCCACACUGGGACUGAGACACGGCCCAGACUCCUACGGAGGCAGCAGUGGGGAAUUUUGGACAAUGGGGGCAACCCUGAUCCAGCCAUUCCGCGUGAGUGAAGAAGGCCUUCGGGUUGUAAAGCUCUUUCGGCAGGAACGAAACGGUGGGCUCUAACAUAGUCCGCUAAUGACGGUACCUGAAGAAGAAGCACCGGCUAACUACGUG